rnacentral:rRNA from 1 species
UGAGUACGAGACGCUAAGGCGUCGAAGUAGUGUAUGUCAUACUUCCAAGAAAAGCUUGCACUGUCAUAAGUAAAAAAUGCCUGUACCAUAACCGACACAGGUGGGUAGGUAGAGUAUACUAAGGGGCGCGAGAUAACUCUCUCUAAGGAACUCGGCAAAAUAACUCCGUAACUUCGGGAGAAGGAGUGCCUUAUUCUUAAGGUUGCAAUAACAAGAUCCAAGCAACUGUUUAUCAAAAACACAGGUCUCCGCUAAGUCGCAAGACGAUGUAUGGGGGCUGACGCCUGCCCAGUGCCAGAAGGUUAAAGAAGUUGGUUAGCUUUUGCGAAGCUGAUAACUGAAGCCCUGGUGAACGGCGGCCGUAACUAUAACGGUCCUAAGGUAGCGAAAUUCCUUGUCGGGUAAGUUCCGACCCGCACGAAAGGCGUAAUGAUUUGGAUACUGUCUCGGAGAGGGGCUCGGUGAAAUAGACUUGUCUGUGAAGAUGCGGACUACCUGCACCAGGACAGAAAGACCCUAUGAAGCUUUACUGUAACUUGAAAUUGAAAUUGGACUUUAUUCGCGCAGUAUAGGUGGGAGGCGUUGAUUGUAAUCUUGCGGGAUUAUUGGAGCCAUCAGUGAGAUACCACUCUUGUAAUGUUAGAUUUCUAACUUUGUAUCAUUAUCUGGUCAAAGAACAGUUUCAGGCGGGCAGUUUGACUGGGGCGGUCGCCUCCUAAACGGUAACGGAGGCGUACAAAGGUUUCCUCUGAACGGUUAGAAAUCGUAUCUAGAGUGUAAAGGCAUAAGGAAGCUUGACUGUGAGACCUACAAGUCGAGCAGGGACGAAAGUCGGUCUUAGUGAUCUGACGGUACUGAGUGGAAAGGCCGUCACUCAACGGAUAAAAGUUACUCUAGGAUAACAGGCUGAUCUCCCCCAAGAGUUCACAUCGACGGGGAGGUUUGGCACCUUGAUGUCGGCUCAUCGCAUCCUGGGGCGGUAGUACGUCCCAAGGGUUGGGCUGUUCGCCCAUGAAAGCGGUACGCGAGCUGGGUUCAGAACGUCGUGAGACAGUUCGGUCCAUAUCCGGUGUAGGCGUUAGAAUAUUGAGAGGAGCCUUCUUUAGUACGAGAGGACCGAGAAGGACAUACCUCUGGUGUACCAGUUAUCGUGCCAACGGUAAACGCUGGGUAGCUAUGUAUGGAGUGGAUAACCGCUGAAAGCAUCUAAGUGGGAAGCCACCUCAAGAUAAGUAUUCU